CAGCCAGACUCCUACGGGAGGCAGCAGUGAGGAAUAUUGGUCAAUGGUCGGGAGACUGAACCAGCCAAGCCGCGUGAGGGAUGAAGGUACAGAGUCUCGUAAACCUCUUUUGUCAGGGAACAAAGGCGGGGACGUGUCCCCGGAUGAGUGUACCUGAAGAAAAAGCAUCGGCUAACUCCGUGCCAGCAGCCGCGGUAAUACGGAGGAUGCGAGCGUUAUUCGGAUUUAUUGGGUUUAAAGGGUGCGCAGGGGGGCUGGUAAGGCGGGGGUGAAAGCCCGGGGCCCCACCCCGGCACCGCCGUUGAAACUGGCAGUCUCGAGUUGGAGAGAAGUAUGCGGAAUGCGCGGUGUAGCGGUGAAAUGCAUAGAUAUCGCGCAGAACUCCGAUUGCGAAGGCAGCAUGCCGGCUCCACACUGACGCUGAGGCACGAAAGCGUGGGUAUCGAACAGGAUUAGAUACCCCUGUA
rnacentral:rRNA from 1 species